GGCGUCGUGACGGAGUGGUUAACGUGAUUGACUCGAAUUAAACUUCAUCGUUCUCCGGGUCCUGAGGAUUUGGAGGUGUGGAGAUAGAAUACGAUAUCAAUUCCUUUCGGGGGCGCAUGUUCGAAUCAUGCCGACGUCG
rfam:Botryotinia fuckeliana T4 unplaced genomic scaffold BcT4_SuperSuperContig_E2_V3__V4, whole genome shotgun sequence.